rnacentral:rRNA from 1 species
GAUGAACGCUGGCGGCGUGCCUAAUACAUGCAAGUCGAGCGAACGGACGAGAAGCUUGCUUCUCUGAUGUUAGCGGCGGACGGGUGAGUAACAAGUGGAUAACCUACCUAUAAGACUGGGAUAACUUCGGGAAACCGGCGCUAAUACCGGAUAAUAUUUUGAACCGCAUGGUUCAAAAGUGAAAGACGGUCUUGCUGUCACUUAUAGAUGGAUCCGCUCUGCAUUAGCUAGUUGGUAAGGUAACGGCUUACCAAGGCAACGAUGCAUAGCCGACCUGAGAGGGGGAUCGGCGACACUGGAACUGAGACACGGUCCAGACUACUACGGGAGGCAGCAGUAGGGAAUCUUACGCAAUGGGCGAAAGCCUGACGGGGCAACGCCGCGUGAGUGAUGAAGGUCUUCGGAUCGUAAAACUCUGUUAUUAGGGAAGAACAUAUGUGUAAGUAACUGUGCACAUCUUGACGGUACCUAAUCAGAAAGCCACGGCUAACUACGUG